AGUUAGCUAAUUUAGCUUUCACGUGAACUGCAGAACUAGGACAUAAUCCAUUUUGGACACCGAACUGUAGAAUACACAUCGUUUUGUGAUAAUGCGAAUAGACUCUAAUCAUAACGAAGCUGAACGUCUGCAGAGACGAAAGAGGUGCAAACAAGCGUUGCAAAGCCAGGAAACUAUCUGAGAGAAUCAGGUGCCAGAAUUUGCCAGUGUCCGUCUGUGCUCCCAUUAUCAGCCCAUACCAUUUUGGCUCUCAUACUGAAGCAUUAAGAUAAGGUCCUAUCUUGUCGAAAUCAAGUGUGAAAUAGCUUCCAGUUUAUGGUGGUAUCAAAAGAUUCAAACCAGCUACCUUGGACAAACUUCCCUCUGGAAUCCUACGUCACAAUGGUCAAAGACAUGUGUAAAGAAUGUGGCGGUGUGUCACCAGAAAGAUGUUGUGUAAGGAAAGAUGGGCCUCGUCGCCAUCAAUUCUCCCUGCUGUCUCCCCCCAAGGAACAGCGCCCCACGUCCGAGACAACACCACCAGUUAGGAGUGACGUACCAACACAGGUGCCAGCCAGGAAUCCUUGGGGACCUGUGCUCCAGAACCGAAGCAACUUUCUCGAGAUGCAUCUCUGCUAAAGAAUCACUCGGUCCCAAACAUACUUCAUCAUCUACACUGUGUAUGAUUCAUAAUGAUGAAUGUGUUUUAGGUAGUGUUUUAAGCCAGUAUUGUAUUUAAUGACACUUCAUACAGCUUAAAAAACCUUAAGUGUUUGAUAGCACAUCAUGACUGAUCAUGUUCUAUAGAUGUACAUAACAGUUUUAGAUAUAUACUACCAAAACAACGGGUCAUUUUCCAUUGUUUAUAUUUCAACUCAUCAGGGCAAGACUUGGAUGACAAUUCGGGAAUUUAGUCAUUGUCUACUUACACUUCAUUGUAUUGUGAAACAUUCCAUGCUUAAUAUUUGCUAUAAAAUAUACAAGUUAUAUAAAUCCAGUCAUCGUCAUUUUAAUUAAAUUUUAGAUAAAUGUUUAUAAAGUUACA